GAUGAAGAACGUAGCGAAAUGCGAUACGUAAUGUGAAUUGCAGAAUUCAGUGAAUCAUCGAGUCUUUGAACGCACAUUGCGCCCCCUGGUAUUCCGGGGGGCAUGCCUGUCCGAGCGUCAUUGCUGCCCUCAAGCACGGCUUGUGUGUUGGGCUCCGUCCCCCCGGGGACGGGUCCGAAAGGCAGCGGCGGCACCGAGUCCGGUCCUCGAGCGUAUGGGGCUUUGUCACCCGCUCUGUAGGCCCGGCCGGCGCCAGCCGACAACCAAUCAUCCUUUUUUCAGGUUGACCUCGGAUCAGGUAGGGAUACCCGCUGAACUUAAGCAUAUCAAUAAGCGGAGGA
rnacentral:misc_RNA from 1 species